rfam:Triticum aestivum genome assembly, contig: Triticum_aestivum_CS42_TGACv1_scaffold_513294_6BS
GUGAGCCGUGUGAUGGGAAACCUUCCCGCAUGGUUCGGAGAGCACUAAAGACAAAUGAGAGGUUCACCACCACAUCAUUGCAAGGGGAGCUCGCUUGAUUUGCAGAUUGGCCUGACUCGUAAUUCACUUUUGACUCUGU